UGGUUUCUUCUUCUUCUUCUGAUC
rnacentral:sRNA from 1 species